AGCGGCAUGGACUACACCUCCCAGGAGGCUCAGCGCCACAACUCAGGAGGCGCGACGUAUUCUGGGAUUUGUAGUCCUAGGACCUGCGGGUCUGAGCGACUUCUGGGACAAAGGAAGCGGAUUCUCCUUCUCGGGUGGGUCCUCCAGCUUGCAGAGGGGUCUCAGAGCUGGUCACCGGGAUGGUGGAGGGACGGCGGGUUGCGGAAGAAGCGUUCCACAGAUAUUUAUCGCGUUCCUUGUAUGCCUGGCGCUGUUCGUCAUAAAUAGCCCGGGAGAGCCCGGCCCUCCGCAAGCUUGCACCGCGCGGAAGCAGGGGGACAAAUGCGAAAGAGAAGGCGGGCGGAGGGCGGUCCUGGGGGUGGGGUGGCCCCGCGAGGCCGCCCCGCGGGAAGAGGUGAGUCCCCAGACAGAGGGGGCGGGUGCGGCGGGCAGGACUGAGAAGAGAGAGUCGCAGAGGGCAGCCCGAACUGACCUGCGUCCGACGAAGUUAAGAACAGACUGCGGAUGGGGCAAAAGCAGCGUGGCCCAGGGCAGUGGCGGUGGACAAAGAGGGGGUCAGAUUCCGAGAGAGGGGUGUAGAGUGCGACAAGAGAGAGGGUUCGCGAUAAGGCCCAAAGUUUGCCCUGCGCAACAUUCAGUUCCAUGACGGCUGUUUCCAGGGCAUGAAUUCUCUGGCACUUUGGACAGGCACAUUCCUGUGACCAGAAAGCCCUGAGUUGAGUGCAGCAGCUUGCAGUAAAAAGCCACAGGUGAGUGUGAGGGAAAGGUGAGUGGGCGCCCACGUCCAUGUGGAGGUGUGAGCAGAGAGCUGGGCACACAGAUACAAGUCCAUGCGAGAAAGAGAGUGGGAGAGGCACAUGUAUAACCAGAUGAGAUCAUUACAGUCAGUGUGAACAGAGAAAAGGUCCGGAGGAGAAAGAAGAAUCAGGAAAAGACACUGAGAAGCCACAACCAGGGAAACAGGAGAAAAACCCGACGCCUGGGCAUCCUGGAAACACAGUGUAAACCAGUGACUGAAGAAGAAGGCAUCUACUCUAUGUCCUGUUGCAUUUACCAGUGCAGAGUCUCUUCCAGGUCCUCCUGCCGCCUAGAUUUGUGGUCUCCAUGGCCUGACCUCAACUGCCCUCUCUUCUGUGUCAAAUGACUUUUCAGAUGACACCAGCCCUCCCUGAGGGUGAGUCGUUGAGAGAAGGGGAAAAAUGGAAGGAGAGUGUAAUGUCCCCCCAGGCUACACUCUGGGCAACAGGACAGCGGGUGCUAAGUGCUCAUACACACGCAGAUAGCAGCACAGCACAGACAAGCUGAGGAAAAGCAGCAGGUAAGGAAAAGCCCAGGUGAGGAGGGUACCAUGGGGGUGGGGCAUGCCCCAGCUAGGACUGCAGACAGGGCAGCCAGGCCUAAUGGGGACUGUCCUGCUGGGAAUCUGGGGACAUGGCUAAUUUCAGGCCUUUCUGCCUCCGCAGUUCCAAGCAGGACUCAGCCAUUAGCAUGGUCCUGUAGACUGGGUACCACAGUGAUUUUGGGGGCAGGCUCGGAGCUCAGACACUUCACCUGUAUAAGAAAGGGAAUGUAGUUUUUUCCAAAGGAGGAAAGGUGAGUUUGGUGGCAGGGGAGCCUGGGGAGAGCAGAGAAGGGAAAUGGAGACAAUGGGAGAGUGGCCUGGCAUUUACACAGCAUGUGACAGUCUUGGAGGGUAAGAAACAGAGGCAGCUGCUUUGUGGAAGCUUUGAGAGUCUCUGGGCACAAGCAGCGGGCAUCAGGUCUAGGAGAUGUAAGCCCCUCAUGACUCUGUCCCUGAUCAGGAGAGCUGGGGUAGCCAUCAGUUGCAGUGGCUGUCCCCUGCCACUCUGUCAAGAUACUGAUGAGAAUGUGAAUUGGAGAGGAGCUCCAGGCAAUCUCCAGGUACCUCCGAGAACUUGCAGUGGGUGGGACUCAGCCGGGGUAGGCUCCCUGCCUGCUAACUCUCCUCCACAAGGCCAGUCUGUUUGAUCUCUACCUUCAAGCAUUUCAAUAUAACAGACUUCUGGUGGCUACUGUGUCCAGGAUUGGGAGAGUCCAGUGCCUUUCCUGCAGGCUGCUUCAUGCAUUCCUUUUCUGGAAAAGUGGCUUCCAUUCCCUAACCUCUCCCAUCUCUCAACACUGCAGUCAGGAUCUGGUGUGGCCAUUGUCCCAGACAAUCCUCCUCCCUGACUUCAGGGCAAGUGUCCUGACCUUGGCUGACCACACAAUCCUUGUGGGAUACUCUUUCAAAUGUCCCUCUGGCUUUCCACCUCUGCUCAGGGGCCACUGCCCCCACAAGGAAAAGUUCCCUGGCUACCUUCAGAGCUUUGAAUACACACACACACACACACACUGGAGAAUGCACCCACGGCUUCAACCACUUGUGGCUUUGGUUUGCUGAUACCUGCUCCCCAAAUAUACAUCUACAUACCAGACUCAUGUUCUAAACUCCAAACACACAUAUUCAAACUGCCCACUUAACAACAGAGAAACAGAACCGACAGCUUUUAGUGCAUAUCCUCUCCCUGUAAUAAACUGUAACCGUGAGCAUAGCUGCUUCUCUCAGUCUGUGAGUGCUUCCAGCAAAUCAUUGAAACUUGGGGUGUUCUUGUGCCUCACGAACAAGCUGCAGUCUGAAGCCACACUGUUCACUCGCAACUUCCAUACUCAGAACCCACCCUCCCUCAUCUGGUCCAGUGAAAUUCUCUCUCUCCCUUUCACUCUCUCUGCUCUAGCCACACCAACUUACUCUGUCCCUGAAACAUAUCAAGCUUGUUCUGAUUUGGGGUCUCUUCCACCAACCCCCCUCCACCUUCCAGUGGCUGACUGUUCAUCAUCUAAGCUCAGCUCAAAUGUCACUUCCUCACAAAGCCUUUCCAUUUUUCUGCCUGAGGUUGUUUUCAUGUCUUGGCUAUUGUAAAUAAUGUUGCUGUGAACAUGGCGGGGGUGGGGGUGCAUAUAUACUUUCCAGUUAGUGUUUCUGCUUUCUUUGGAUGAACACCCAGAAGUAGAAUUGUUAGAUCAUGUGGUACUUCUAUUUUUAAUUUUUUGAGGAACCUCCAUAGUUUUUUCCACAGUGGUUGCACCAUUUUACAUUCUCACAACAGUGUGCAAAUGUUCUCCUUUCUCUACAUUCUAGCCAACACUUGUCAGGUGUGAGGUCAUGUUUCAUUUUGCUUUUGAUUUGCAUUUCCCUGAUGAUGAGUGAUGUUCAGCAUCUUUUCAUGUGUCUGUUGCCAUCUGUAUGUCUUCUUUGGAAAAAUCUAUUCAGAUCCUCUGCCCAUUUUUUCAUUGUUUGUUUGCGUUUGCUAUUGAUUUACAUGAGUUCUUCAUAUAUUUUGGAUAUUAACCCCUUAUCAGAUAUAUGAUUUGUAAAUAUUCUCUCCAACUCCAUAUGUUGCCUUUUCAUUAUGCUGUUGGUUUCCUUUGCUGUGCAGAAGCUCUUUAGUUUGAAGUUGUCCAGCUUAUUUAUUUUUACUUUUGAUCCCUUUGCUUUUGUUGUCAAAUUAAAAAAAAACAUCACCAAGACCAAUGUGAAGGAGCUUUCUGUCUAUAGUUUCUUCUUUCUUUAUGGUAUCAGGUCUUACAUUCAAGUCUUUAAUCCAUACUUAGUUAAUUUUUGUGUAUGGUGGAAGAAAGUGGUCCAGUUUUAUUCUUUGCAUGUAGCUGUCCAGUUUUCCCAAUACCAUUUAUUGCAGAGACUGUCCUUUCCCCCAUUGUAUAUUCUUGCCUCCUUUGUAGUAAAUUGGUUGAGCAUAUUUGCAUCAAUUUAUUUCUGGUCUCUCUAUGCUCUUCCAUUGAUCUAUGAGUCUAUUUUCAUUCCAAUAUCAUACUGUUGUUACUACAGUUCUGCAAUAUAGUUUGAGAUCAGGGAGCAUGAUGCCUCCAGGUUUUUCUAUCUCAAGAUUGCUUCGGCUAUCUAGGGUCUUUUGUGGUUCCAUUCAAAUUUUAGGGUUGUUUGCUCUAUUUCUGUAGAAAAGUGUCACUGGAGUUUUGAUAGGAAUUGCAUGAAUCUGUAGGUUGCCUUGGGUAGCAUGGACAUUUUAACAAUAUUAAUUCUCGGGGCACCUGGGUGGCUCAGUCAGUUAACUGUCUGCCUUCAGCUCAGG